CGCGUCUGUCUGUAGAAUGUCAGUGGGCUGCAAUUUACUGACACGACACGGGUUCCCAUCCUUCAGGAUUUCAUGGUGUGGUGGAGAGCUGGAAUUUCAGCCCAGUUAUGCAGUAGAUGUUGUCUGGUAGUUUGGUGUCUCUGGAGCUUGUUGGGGCCAUGCUGUAAUAUUGGGAACCUGUGCUUGAUGGCAGAACUCCCAGGCCUCUGGGGGGAAAAACAUCCACUUCUGCACAUGUAUGGCAGCCUGGAGUUCCACUCAGUGUGGGUAAUAAGAGAGCUCUGCUCUCUGAUUGGCCUGGCUCCCGAGUGGAGAAUUUUAGCUGGACACAUGAGAACUCUCAUGGGACUCACUGGCCUCCUAAUUGGGUUGUGUACAGUCAAGUGUGUCAACCUACACAAAGUUAUAUAUAAUAAUAAUGAUUAUUAGCAUCUUUUUUUUUUUUUUUUUUUUUUUUUUUUUUUUUUUUUUUUUACAUUCUGAUAUUAUGUAUUUUCCAUUAGGCAUGUGCAACUUUAUGAAGAUGUUCACUUUAGUUUAUAAUUACUUUGUCUAAUAUUGUAUAUAAUUUCUGUAGUAUUAAUAUUACUUGUGAUUAUAGUAGUUUAUUGGAGUUAGUAUUGUAGGUUUUAAACAUUUUCUCCAUAUGAUACCUAAUUCUUCCGUUCCACGGUUUGAUGGUGAAAUUGGCUACGUUCCAGGCCUUCGUUGGCAUGGAUGGGUUUAUGUUUUUUUUUAUAUAUGUGUGUCUCAGUCUCCUGUAACCAAACACAACCACUACAAACAAGAAAAUUUUAGUUUGGAUUACUUCAAAUAAAGUGACCGAUAAGAUA